CCUACGGGUGGCAGCAGUGGGGAAUAUUGCACAAUGGGGGAAACCCUGAUGCAGCGACGCCGCGUGAGUGAAGAAGUAAUUCGUUAUGUAACGCUCUAUCAGCAGGGAAGAACAUGACGGUACCUGCGUAAGAAGCCCCGGCUAACUACGUGCCAGCAGCCGCGGUAAUAAGUAGGGGGCAAGCGUUAUCCGGAGUUACUGGGUGUAAAGGGAGCGUAGACGGGAGUGCAAGUCUGGAGUGAAAGGCGGGGGCUCAACCCCCGGAAUGCUCUGGAAACUGUACGGAUGGAGUGCAGGAGAGGUAAUGGGAAGUCCUAGUGGAGCGGUGAAAUGCGUAGAUAUUAGGAGGAACACCAGUGGCGAAGGCGGCUUACUGGACUGUAACUGACGUUGAGGCUCGAAAGCGUGGGGAGCAAACAGGAUUAGAGACACGUGUAGUC
rnacentral:rRNA from 1 species